UGACCUAUUGCUUUUAUUUCUGCUACCAGUC
rnacentral:piRNA from 1 species